ensembl:lncRNA
AUGUCCACGGCUGCUGCUCAUCUGCCCCUGGAGCACUGUGGCUCGGUGCUCUCCUUCCUGUGGAAAGAACUGUCCUUCUCUUCCAGGUGCCCAUGGCCAAAAUCUGGAUUCCUCUUCUUAGUUUGCUUCUAUGCAAAGAUUGUUCUCAGACGAAAUCUGCCAGGACAGACAAGUCUGGCUGGCCUUGGUUUCCAAAGAGCUGAUUCUUAUCUGCCUUUGAAACACUGGGGCUUUGUGCUUUCCUUUCUGAUGAAAAGAACUCUUCUUCCUGCCCAGGUGCCCAUGGCCAAAGUUUGGAAUCCUCCUCCAGAAUUCCCUAGGUCCAAGGAUUUCUCAGUGACAAAAGCUGCCAGGACAAACAGGUCUGGCUGGCCUGGCCUCCCAGGAGCCUUCUCUCUCUGCUUCUGCCCCUGCAACACGGAGGCUCUGGGCUUUCCUUCCUAUGGAAAGGAACCAUCCUUCUUAACAGUGCAGAAAUGGCCGAAAUUGGGGUUCCACCUCCCAAAUUCCCUAUAUCCAAGGGUUGCUUUCAGACAAAAAAAUACCACAACAGAGAGGUCUGGCUGCCCUUGGCCUCUGAUGGUCACCUUUCAUCUGCCCCUGAAACACCGGUGUUCCGUCCUUGCCUUCCUAUGGAAAAGAACCGUCCUUCUCCUCCAGGCAGCCAGGUCUGAAACUGGCAUUCCACCUCUAAAAUUCCCUAUAUCCAAGGACAAAAUCUGCCAGCACCAUCUGAUCUGGCUGCCCUUAGCCUCUGGUGGCUGUGGCUCAUCUGCCCCUGCAGCACUGGGGCUGGGUUGUUCCCUUCCUGUGGAGACCAUGGUGGCACAGUGAGGACCUGGUGGAACCAUGGAGUCCAUUGUGACACUUUGGGGCCAUGGUGACCCCGCGGGGCUCCAUGGAACCCAGAGACCACCAUGACUCUGUGGGGCCUUGUGGAACCAUGGAGACCAUUCCGACCCUUCAGAGCCUCGUGUCACCAAGGGGGCAUUGUGACACCUCAGGGCCUCCUGGAAGCAAGGGACCAUUGGGACACUGUGGGGCUCCAUGGAAUGAGGGGAACAGGGAACAGGUCUGGCAGGCUUGGCCUCCCAGGGGCCACCUGACAGGUCUGGCUGAUCUUGGAAUGUCAAGGGCUGCCUCUCAUCUGCCCAUGAACCACUGGGGCUCUGUGCUUUCCUUGCAGUGGAAAAGAACUGUCCCUCUUUUUUGACACUCAUGGACAAAAUUGGUACUUCCCCUAAAAAAUUUCCUGUAUGCAAGGGUAUCUGCCAGAAAAAAACCUGCCAGCUCUGGCUGGCCUUGGCCUCUGAUGAUCGCAUCUCAGUUGCCUCAGAAGCACUGGGGCUCUGUGCCUUCCUUCCUGCAGAAAAGAACUGACCCUCUUGUCCAGGGGCCAUGGCAGGAACUGGAAUUUGGCCACCAAAAUUCCAUCUAUCCUAGGAUUGCUCCCAGACAAAAGCUGCCAGGACAGACAGUUCUGCCUGGCCUUGGCCUCUGGUGAUAUGAGCAGAAUGUUUUCUUUUGCAAACACCUUGGACAGGGCCCAGAGAUCUCCUGAGCUGGGUUUUGCAGGCCUCAAGAAUAUAACCCAUGUAUGGAGGCUGAUGUGCCUGGGCUCAGCUGUGAAGAGACUGAGGACAGAUCAGGAGUGGCCUGGCAGGGCUUGAAAGGUGGAUUCCAAAAUGGUGGAGCUUUUCUCCAUAGUGGGAAUCAGGCAGGGAGAGAAAUUAUGCCCCAAAUGCAGCUGGGGAAGGACAGACUGGACACAGGAGGAGAAAGGAAUUUCCCUCCCAGGGCAGGGCUGUGGUGCAACACAUCCCCAGCAGGAGCC